AAGAAAGUAAUUCAGGGCGCAUGGCGGAUGCCUUGGCUCACGGAGGCGACGAAGGACGUGAUAAGCUGCGAUAAGCCGCGGGUAGGAGCAAAUAUCCCUUGAUCCGCGGAUUUCCGAAUGGGACAACCCGUCUGCCUGAAGGGCAGACAUCCCUGCCUGGUGCAGGGAGGCCAACCGAGGGAACUGAAACAUCUUAGUACCUCGAGGAAAAGAAAACAACAGUGAUUCCCCCAGUAGUGGCGAGCGACCGGGGAGGAGCCCAAACCGGAGUUGUACUUCUGUGCCUCUCCGGGGUUGUAGGACCGCGCUGUGGCACUCUUAUCGCGAAUAGAAUGAUCUGGAAAGUUCAACCAUAGAGGAUGACAGUUCCGUAUAUGAAGCGAGCGGAGGCCUAGCGGUAUCCUGAGUAACGCGGGACACGUGUAAUCCUGCGCGAAUCUGCCGGGCCCAUCCGGCAAGGCUAAAUACUCCCGUGAGACCGAUAGCGUACCAGUACCGUGAGGGAAAGGUGAAAAGAACCCCUUCUAGGGGAGUGAAAUAGUACCUGAAACCAUGCGCCUACAAGCGGUCGGAGCCAAUUUAUUUGGUGACGGCGUGCCUUUUGCAUAAUGAACCUACGAGUUGCCGUCGCCGGCGAGGUUAAGGAUGAUGACAUCCCGAGCCGCAGUGAAAGCGAGCCUGAACAGGGCGUAUAGUCGGCGGAGGCAGACGCGAAACCGAGUGAUCUACACAUGUCCAGGAUGAAGUCCCGGUAACACGGGAUGGAGGUCCGAACGGAUAAGCGUUGAAAAGCUUCCCGAUGAGGUGUGUGUAGGAGUGAAAGGCCAAUCAAACUCGGAGAUAGCUCGUACUCCCCGAAAGGCAUUUAGGUGCCGCGUUGCGUGUUCUGCAUUAGAGGUAGAGCGACCGAUAGGAUGCGAGGGCUUCACCGCCUAUCAAGUCCUGACGAACUCCGAAUGCUAAUGCACAGUAGCGCAGCAGUAAGGGCGCGGGUGCUAAGGUCCGUGCCCGAGAGGAGAAGAAUCCAGACCGCCGUCUAAGGUCCCGGAGUUCUGCCUGAGUUAGUCUAACGAAGUGUGGUCUCGAUGACAGCUAGGAUGUUGGCUUGGAAGCAGC
rnacentral:rRNA from 1 species